ACGGGAGGCAGCAGCUAAGAAUAUUCCGCGAUGGACGAAAGUCUGACGGAGCGACGCCGCGUGGAUGAUGAAGGUCGGAAGAUUGUAAAAUCCUUUUGGACAUGAGGAAUAAGGAGAGUGAGAGAAACGCUUUCCGGUGACUGUAGUGUCAGAAUAAGCAACGGCUAAUUACGUGCCAGCAGCCGCGGUAACACGUAAGUUGCGAGCGUUGUUCGGAAUUAUUGGGCGUAAAGGGCAUGUAGGCGGUUUUGCAAGCUUGGUGUGAAAUCCCGGAGCUUAACUCCGGAAUUGCGUUGAGAACUGCAUAACUAGAGUCACUGAGGGGCAAUCAGAAUUCCAGGUGUAGGGGUGAAAUCUGUAGAUAUCUGGAAGAAUACCAAUGGCGAAGGCAGGUUACCAGCAGAUGACUGACGCUGAGGUGCGAAGGUGCGGGGAGCAAACAGGAUUAGAUACCCUGGUA
rnacentral:rRNA from 1 species